CCUACGGGUGGCUGCAGUGGGGAAUAUUGGACAAUGGGCGAAAGCCUGAUCCAGCCAUGCCGCGUGAGUGAUGAAGGCCUUCGGGUUGUAAAGCUCUUUCACCCACGACGAUGAUGACGGUAGUGGGAGAAGAAGCCCCGGCUAACUUCGUGCCAGCAGCCGCGGUAAUACGAAGGGGGCAAGCGUUGUUCGGAAUGACUGGGCGUAAAGGGCGCGUAGGCGGCGCGUUGCGUCAGAUGUGAAAUCCCCGGGCUCAACCUGGGAAUGGCAUUUGAUACGGGCGUGCUGGAAUCCGUGAGAGGUUGGUGGAAUUCCCAGUGUAGAGGUGAAAUUCGUAGAUAUUGGGAAGAACACCAGUGGCGAAGGCGGCCAACUGGCACGGUAUUGACGCUGAGGCGCGAAAGCGUGGGGAGCAAACAGGAUUAGAUACCCUAGUAGUCGU
rnacentral:rRNA from 1 species